ensembl:lncRNA
GGGGAUUUGGAUUUGGAUUUGGCCAGGAGUGAGCAGAGCGUGGAGCAAACCAGGCAGGUGAGAUGGAGGGGAGGGGACAGCUGGGGACAGACCCUGCCUGGUACCUCGGGCUCAGGCAGGCCUCAGCCCCUCUGUGCUGCUCCUCUGGGGUGCUGUGCAGAGAGCUUUGCCCCAGCAUCCCCUUUGUGCCUCUCAGGAGCCAGGCAGGGCCGGGCAGGAGCAGCCUGUGCACCCUGGGGACACUGACAGCACUAAAGGAGGUGGGUGAGUCCCCAUCCCACAUCCCAGCUGGGCCCCCUUUGGGGGAGGUUUGGAGUAGCAUAGGAACGUGUUCUGAUGGAAUUCAUCUCCCCUGGUGGGGACAUGGGCAAGGGGAGAUGGCCUGGGGGGAGCCAGAGCCCCCCUGAUGCUGGGGGAAGGAUUGGGAGGGUUCCAAAGCAUGGGCAGCACCCCCUGACAGGACAGGAGGGCAGAGGGAGGAGGGAAGGCCCAGGGAAAGCCCUCAUGUGUGGUCUCCUGUGGCCCCACUGCCUUCCUGCAGAUGCAGAAAUCCCGGAGGAGCCGCUGCUGAGCCUCCCCAGUGAGCUCUCAGUGCUGGACAGGCUUGGCUUGCACAGGUAAGAGCAGGGAGCACCUGCAUCCCUCGGGGCAGGGGGGCACAGCAGGGCUCAGAGAUUGGAUUUCCCUCCUUUUCCAUUGCACAAGAGCUGCUGCCCACACAAUGGGCACGUGCCUUCCCCUUCUCAGGGUGGCUGGCACCCCUGGGAGCAGGGCAAGGCCAUUUUCAGCCUGCAGCCCCCAUCCCUGACAGCACUUCUCUUUCUGCAGGGUGGCUCUGACCGAGCAGGAUCUGGAGGCAGCCUUUGCCCACCUGGCCCUGGCUUUUCGCUGCGACGUGUUCACCCUGCAGCAGCGGGUGCAGGUGGAGAGACGGGCACGGGAUGCAGCGGAGGAAAACAUCCAGGAGGAGCUGGGGCAGUGCCGGGCUGCCCUGGAGGUAGGUGGGCACCAGGGCAGGGGGCUGGCACGUCACCCAGCCCCGGAGGGGUGUGCAGAGCUCACAGUGGCAGCUCCAGCAGCUCCAUCCUUCCCCCCACAGAGGCUGGGCCGAUCGUGUGCCAGUGCAGGCUGCAAGGAGACGCUGGAGCAGCUGCAGCACAACCUGGCCGUGCUGGCAGCAGCUGUGGAGAGGGCAACCAGCGCUGCAGAGAAGCUGGGGGCUGUGCACCAGGUGUGUCACAGCCCGGUGUGGGAGCGAUGGAGGUGCUACAGAUGGGCUUGGGGAUGGUGAAGCCUCAUCCCUGGGCUUGCUGGGGUUUGUUCCUCCUCCUCACAGUUCUUGAUCUCACUUUUGUGCUUAGCAGGGUGCAAGGGAUCCAUUCACCCACCCCUGGGAGUGGGAAGGGGAUGCACCUUGGCCAAGGCUUUGCACAGGCACGUGGGGCUUCAAGCAGCUCUCUGUCCCCCUAGAUCUCUCCUAAAUUUCUUGUCCUGGACAAAAAAAUUCUCCUUCUGUCCUAAAUCUGUGUGUCCAUGGGCACCGGGACAGUCCCUUCACCCUGGGCUGGGAGAGGGACUUGGUGAACUUUCUGCAUCCUUCUCUGACUCUUUCAACAUUGUAAAACAGCUUAAAUGGGUUCUCCAAGCUCGCUUAUAUUUGGAAAUGUUUAAUAUGUGUCUCUCCCUGGCACUCCCUGUGUACUGGAGCCUUAGGCAGAGCCCUGUUGGUUAGGGCAUACAGCUGUUAACUAUCAUGGGAUCAAAGCCCAUCUGUCCAGUAAAUGGAAGGUCCUAGCUUAAUGAAAGCACCUGAGUUGCAUUUAAGGGAUGCAGGGUAAUGGCCUGUGGACUUUAGCAGAAACUAAAAGGGUUUUUAACUCUUGUUUAAGGCUUUGAAGACCUUCAGUUUAGGUAAUCCUAACUUUCUUAGAUAAUGGUAAGGAUUACAGGGGAGAGUGGAAGGACUCCCAGGGACGGGGAGGCACUGGCAGGGCUGGCUCCUAUGGAGGUUUAGGAGCCCUGAUCCCCAUCCUGGCUGGCUGCAGGAGGCCAGGAUGAGCCGGGCAGCAGAGGUGAUGGUGCAGCACGUGGAGAACCUGAAGCGGCACCACCAGCGGGAGCACGCGGAGCUGGAGGAGAUGAAGCGCCUGAUCCAGCAGAACUCCCGCAACCGGCAGCUGGCAGAGAGCCAGGGUGAGGUGGGCUCUGCCCCCGGGGCUGGGCACGGCUGGCACACUGCAAACGUGCAGCACUUGGCCCCCAGCCCCUCUUUGGGGCAGUGUGACCCCGCACUGCAGAGCCGGGGGUGCUGUGAGCUGAGGAGUGCUGGGGGGAACAGCUGAUGGGGCAGUGAAGGGAACAGCUGGGGACACUUGUGAGGGGACACUGGGAGAGCAGAUCAGUGUGGCAGCAGGUGCUGGUGGCCAGAGAGCCACAACCCAGCUGGGAAUGCAGGGCAGGGGGGCCCAUGCACAAAAAGGACUCUGUUCCCGAGCACCAAACCCCACAGGUGCCACUGUGUCCCCUUCCCUGGGCACCACCUGUGCCAAGCACAGAGCACACGGCCAGGACAGCUUUGUGUCUGUCUGUCUGUCUGUGCAUCAGCCCCAUCCUUGUGCUGGGGGAUGAUGUAAGGCAGCUUCUCUCUGCUCUCAGAUGAUGUGGAGCCACGGCUGAGACCUCACCCCCUGAAGAGAACUUUCCAGCAGGUAACUGGUCCCAUUUUGGGAGACUUGGAGCCACUGCCUGCCCAUGCCCUGCUGCCCUCCCUCAGCUGACUGUCCCCACACACCCCCUUGUCCCCAGACAAUGCCACUGCAGCCAGCUGCUUGCUGCAGGGAAGAUCUGCUGGGAUGAAGCAGAAUGCAGCUUCAGAGAGCUGUUGGCAGACAGACAGGAUGCCCAGCAAGCUGAGGGCUGCCUGUGCAAGAGAUCGUGGGCAGAUCCUUCUUCCAUUGCAGGGUCACAGGCUUGGCUGUUCUUUAGCACCUCCUUGAAUCCCACACUGAUCCAGAGGCAGGGCAGGGGGUCAGGCAGCCCCAGCAGCACUAAUGACAGGCACAAACCUCUUGGCUUUGACCUUCCCUGGCUUUCCAGCUUCCCCUCAGCUCCAGGGGGAGCUGGCAGUGUCCCAUGGUGUCCCUUACCCGUGCUGGGGAGGUGAUGGGGCAGGAGGAGGUGAGAAGCAGCAGCACAGAGCUCACCCUCACCCCCUCUGUUUCAGGGGUCUGCCCGCCGCAGGGUCAGCAUCGCCGUCAUCCCCAAGCAGCUCCUGGUAAGGAUGUGUGGGGUGGGGACAGCCAGAGGCCUGGGUGCCACUGGGGCUGUGUCCCCAGCCUGGGUGCCACUGGGGCUCUGUGUCCCCACUGAUGCUCCCCCCUUGUGUGCCCAGCCAGGUGCCAGCCCUGAGAGCCGAGCAGCCCCAGCAGGUGACCUGGAGCCAGAAGGUGCCCAGCGCUGGCCCAGCACCCCUAGGUAACUGCGCUGGGUGGCCGGGCAGCCCUGGCACAGCUGAUCCAGCUGUCCCCAUGUGGCACAGCACUGACCCAUCCUCUCCCUCCCCAGGAGUGAGCUGGAGCCACAGGGCCAGCACAGCGCCGUGACUGGGAAGCAGGUGGCAGAGGGCAGAGGAUCCAGCACAGGGAACGAGGAGCCAGAGCAGCUUGGGCUGACGUGAGCAGCACCCUGGGUGUGCCCAGCAUCCCCCCGUGGCUGCUGGCCUCUCUGUGCUCCCCAAGUGGCCAAAACUUGGGCAGAGGAUGGGGGGUUUAGGGGUGAAAAGCUGGGGUGUUGUUUGGCUGCCUCAGCUCAACCCCACCAGGCCUCAGUUUUGCCCACGCGCUCCCUCAGGCUUGUUCACUUGGGCUUGUAAAAGGUUUGCCAGGGAGUUUUGGGGCUGAGUUAAACAUCCUCCUUGUCCCCAGCUGGGGUGGAGGUGGGAUUUGCCCUCUCCCUUACGGAUGACAAGUGUCCCUGGUCACCUUCUCCCCAGGUCCAAGGGCUCUGCAGAGGAGCUCUGGCGUCCAUGGCUCUUCCUCCCACAGCACUACUGGGUUUUCUUCUGGCUGCUUCUGCUGAGCAUCGCCUUCCUCCUCCUCAUCCGCGUCCUGGAGCUGCAGAGGCUGCAGCCUGCAGCAUCACCCAAGGCCUAGCUGGACCAGGGAGGGGGAGCUGAGAGCCAUCUCUGCUCCUUCCCCAUGUCCCAACACAGCAAACCCCUAGAAUAAUAAAAUGGGA